CCCUCUCUCUCUCUCAACCAAACCCCCACCCUUGCUACCUCUGUGACAGCUACCAACACCACCAAAUUUGUCGCCGCCACCACCAAAUCCCAACCCCACCACCACUGUGACAGCAACUACCUCCACCUGAACCCCAACAACUUCGAAAAAAAAGUCAACAGGUCGGAACAUGUGUAUGGCUUCCAGCUCCGACACACUCGUCUCCGGCAACUCUUCUUCUCCAACUGUCGCCAACUCUUUGUCUCCGGCAACUCUUCUUCUCCAACUGUCGCCAACUCUUCGUCUCCGGCAACUCUUCCUCUCCAACUCUUCUUUCCGGCAACUCUUUUGAAAGAUAGAGUUGCGUAUGAUUCACGGCAUCCUCCUAUUCAUUAUGUUGCAGCUAGCAGGUGAUACUGUGUUUUGUGUUCUCUCUACUCCGUCUCUCUGUAUCAUACCACAACUUCCUUCAACCACCACCACUCUUCCUCUCUCUCUCUAAGCCACACCGCUGUUAUGAACAUUAUGGGUUCCGGCCCAGCUAUCAUUUGUAAACCACAAUGACCCAAUCAAGUAGCCCAUUACCCAAAGCCCAACAAGUGAAUGACUAGAAUUUUCUGACGUAUGUUAUAAACACAAGGAUGAGAGAGAAUAUAGGAUUAUGAAUGAGCUUGUAGUUGUGUGUGAUUUGUUCUAGUUCCCAUCUCCUUCUUUCUGUAUUUCUCAUCUCCUCUUCUAUGAUUAAUAUGAAUUAGUGCUAGUUUUUGCCCUAAUUUCCAUUGUUGAUUACUCAUUCAAUAUCAAUUCACUUCAACCGCCCCAAUAGCUACCACCAACCACCAUCGCCGUGAAUAAAAGAAGCCGUGAACAAAGAAGACGUCAACAAAAGAAGCUGGAUCUGACGAUUGGAUGAGCAAUGGUGUUUCAACGAAGCUGGAUCUCUCAGCAAUGACGUCGUCGGUGAGCAAUGGUGUUUCAUCGAAGCCGGAUCUCUCAGCAAUGACGUCGUCGGUGAGCAAUGGUGUUUCAACCUGAAAACAGUCGCCGAUUGGGUUGGGUAUGUAUGUAUGUAUGUAUAUAAAAAGGGGGGAAUUUUGGAAUUGGUUGAUUAGUGUUGUACGUAUGGUGGAUGUGAUGGGUCGAACAUGGGUGUUUGUAGUUGGGUUGAAUAUUGCUAAGAGUAUAUACAGUAAAUUUGUUCA